GUGAGGAAUAUUGCGCAAUGGAGGCAACUCUGACGCAGCCAUGCCGCGUGCAGGAAGAAGGCGCUACGCGUUGUAAACUGCUUUUAACCGGGAAGAAACCCCAGGACGUGUCCUGGGUUGACGGUACCGGAGGAAUAAGCACCGGCUAACUUCGUGCCAGCAGCCGCGGUAAUACGAAGGGUGCAAGCGUUAUCCGGAUUCAUUGGGUUUAAAGGGUGCGUAGGCGGAGCGUUAAGUCAGUGGUGAAAUCCUGCAGCUUAACUGUAGACUUGCCAUUGAUACUGGCGCUCUUGAAUGCGCUUGAAGUGGGCGGAAUGUGCCGUGUAGCGGUGAAAUGCUUAGAUAUGGCACAGAACACCAAUUGCGAAGGCAGCUCACUAAGGCGAUACUGACGCUGAGGCACGAAAGCGUGGGGAUCGAACAGGAUUAGAUACCCUAGUAGUCC
rnacentral:rRNA from 1 species